GCUAAAAACAUGGGCAUGGCUCAGGCUGUCAUUUCCCUUAGUGAUCAAUGAUGUCCCAGCACUCUGAGAUCCUCUCUCUGGCGCUAUCUGGAACCUCUCUGCAAACCUUGGGUGCCCGUUCCCACCAACGUUUCUUCCUUUCUCUCUUCAGAAGCAGCGCAGUGCGGUUCCCCGUGUUUGGGAGCAGCAGCCAGUAGGCUGCAAGAGAUGCAGCUGCGCCUUUCAGCGCACAAAGGGACACAGUGGGGAUGGAGCAUCCUUACCACCACGCAAAAGGAUGGAGCCUGCGCACCCACUGAACGGUGCUGGGCACUGGGGAAAACGAAAAGCCUCCGCAGAAGCUGAUGCCAGUGGCCUUCCUCUGAAGCGCAGCCAUGCGGAAAGGCAGGGGAGGAGCACGGAGCGUGACGCGGCACCCAAGAGAGAGAGAGGUGCUGAGCCAAAUGGGAAGAUCUACGUGAGAGCGGUGCACGAAGUCCUUUCGGAGAGAGCUCGUCUCCAGGCUGGAGGGCUUCG